rnacentral:lncRNA from 1 species
AAGACUCAAACUCUGUCGUCUGGAAUCCGAGGAUCUCCGUUGGAUCUAUCACCACUUCGUCGAUGCAGCGUGAGAGUGUAUCCGCCACGACGUUGUCGACUCCUUUCCGGUGUUCGAUCCCAAAGUCAAACCUCUGCAGUCGCAAUGACCACCUCGCAAGACGUCCGUUUAGAUCCUUCAAUGACAUGAGCCAUUUCAGGCUGGCGUGAUCCGUAAUAACCGUGAAGGGCAUCAAUUCAACGUACGGUCUGAAUUUUUCAAUGGCCAACACCGCAGCUAAACACUCUUUUUCCGUUACAGAAUAAUUUAGCUGAUGCUUGUUUAACUUGGCGGAGAAGAAUGCCACCGGACGCUCGGCUCCUUCGACGUCCAACUGAAACAACACCGCUCCCACUCCGUAAUUCGAUGCGUCGCACUGUACAUAGAAAGGCUUCUUGAAAUCAGCAUGACUUAAUACCGGAGCCGUGGUGAGUGCCUUCUUCAGGAAUCCUAUCGCCGUCUCGGCCUCCGUGGACAGGGAAAACUUUCCACGCGGAUGCUUCUUCAGCGCGUCUGUUAGCGGCACAGCAAUGGAAGCGUAAUCCUUGAUGAAGCGCCUAUACCAUCCUGCGGUUCCUAGGAAGCUUCUUAGUUCCUUCACUGAACUCGGAUUGGGAAUCCUUUGAAUGGCCAAAACUCUUUCAGGAUCCAUCUGCAACGUGCCACCUCCGAUGAUAAAUCCCAGGUAUUUCAGUGACCUAAAGCAAAAUUUUGAUUUUUUCAAGACUAUUGUUAAAUUUGCUUUUCGUAAGCACUGGGCCACCAACCGAAGGUACCGGAGAUGCAUCUGGAAAUCGGGAGCUAUCACCAAGAGAUCAUCUAGAUAGACGAAAACGUUUGAUCUCAACUGCGUCGGGAUCACUUUGUCCAUCACUCGGCAUAGCCUCUGUGCAGCAUUACACAGACCGAAGGGCAUCAUCACAAAUUGGUACAGCGGACGACCUGGAACGGUGAAAGCGGUACAUUUCCUGCUUUCUGGAUCCAACUUGAUUUGCCAGAACGCGAAUUUAAGGUCCACACUUGAAAUGUAAUGCGUCUGGUCGAUCCUGGACAGUAUUCCCUCGAUGCUAGGAAGAGGGUAAGCGUCUUUGACGGUGAGUUGGUUCAGCUUUUGGGCGUCUAAACAAAAUCUGUUUUUGUUAGGUUUCCGCACUACCGUCGUCCUAUUGCUCCACGGACUAUCGCUAACCUCUAUCACUCCUAGUUCCAGCAUCUUGUCCACUUCGGUCCAGACCACUUCCUGCAUCGCUGGGGAUUGAGGGUAGUGUCGAUCCUUAAACGGUGCCGCGCCCUCUACCAACUGGAUCCGAUACUCCUCUACAGUCGUUGACCCUAAUCCGGCAUCUUCGUAAGUCAGGAACUCCCCCUUUACCUUCUCCAGUUCUUCAGCUUCCUUCUCUUCCAGGUCCCACGCGUCCACAUGUACGUUCUCC